GGGUCAGUAGGUUGGUCGUGCCACCGGUACGUACUGGUCUCACUGAUUCCUCCUUCCUGAAGAACCGUAAUGCCAUUAAUUUGGUGUUGCGGGGAAACAGGACUGUUACUUUGAAAUAAUUAGAGUGUUUAAAGCAAGCUAACGCUUGAAUACAUUAGUAUGGAAUAAUGAAAUAGGACGAUCGAUCCUAUUUUGUUGGUUUCUAGGAUUGACGUA
rnacentral:rRNA from 1 species